AAGCCCGAGUAAACGGCGGCCGUAACUAUAACGGUCCUAAGGUAGCGAAAUUCCUUGUCGGUUAAAUACCGACCUGCAUGAAUGGCGUAACGAGAUGGGAGCUGUCUCAACCAGAGAUUCAGUGAAAUUGUAGUGGAGGUGAAAAUUCCUCCUACCCGCGGCAAGACGGGAAGACCCC
rnacentral:rRNA from 1 species